UACGAAGGGGGCUAGCGUUGUCGCGAAUUACUGGGCGUAAAGCGCACGUAGGCGGUAUUGCAAGUCGGAUGUGAAAUCCCUCGGCUCAACCAAGGAAGUGCAUCCGAAACUGCCGUACUUGAGUACGAAAGAGGAUCGCGGAAUUCCCGGUGUAGAGGUGAAAUUCGUAGAUAUCGGGAGGAACACCAGUGGCGAAGGCGGCGAUCUGGGUCGAUACUGACGCUGAGGUGCGAAAGCGUGGGGAGCAAACAGG
rnacentral:rRNA from 1 species